CUAGGUGGUUUUUUCGAUGAAGGU
rnacentral:miRNA from 1 species